rnacentral:rRNA from 1 species
CUGAGGUACUGGAAGGUCCUCAGGCCGAAAGGGGCUCUGCCCGCCCGAGGAUGGGCCGGCGGCCGAUUAGGUAGUUGGUGGGGUAACGGCCCACCAAGCCGAAGAUCGGUACGGGCCAUGAGAGUGGGAGCCCGGAGAUGGACACUGAGACACGGGUCCAGGCCCUACGGGGCGCAGCAGGCGCGAAACCUCCGCAAUGCGGGCAACCGCGACGGGGGGACCCCCAGUGCCGUGGCAACGCCACGGCUUUUCCGGAGUGUAAAAAGCUCCGGGAAUAAGGGCUGGGCAAGGCCGGUGGCAGCCGCCGCGGUAAUACCGGCGGCCCGAGUGGUGGCCGCUAUUAUUGGGCCUAAAGCGUCCGUAGCCGGGCCCGUAAGUCCCUGGCGAAAUCCCACGGCUCAACCGUGGGGCUUGCUGGGGAUACUGCGGGCCUUGGGACCGGGAGAGGCCGGGGGUACCCCUGGGGUAGGGGUGAAAUCCUAUAAUCCCAGGGGGACCGCCAGUGGCGAAGGCGCCCGGCUGGAACGGGUCCGACGGUGAGGGACGAAGGCCAGGGGAGCGAACCGGAUUAGAUACCCGGGUAGUCCUGGCUGUAAAGGAUGCGGGCUAGGUGUCGGGCGAGCUUCGAGCUCGCCCGGUGCCG